rnacentral:lncRNA from 1 species
CAGACCUUGCAGCAUGAUGCCUAAUGCUCAUCCUUGUACGAUGCAGGUUCUGUUUGCGCUCUUCGUGAUUUGGCCAUCAACGUCAUCCUGUGUUUCGACACGUGUUUCAACGCCUCUCGGAGCAUCGAACGCCACCGAAGAUAACAACGAUGCAGUGCCCUUAUUCAGCCCGAUUUCCUUGGCGGUGCUCGCCUACAGACUGCCAGCCGCAUCAACCAUGGCAUCAUCUUCGACGACAGAUAUAAGUGGACCGCCUGUCAACUACACCUUCAGUGGGCACGGGAGCAGACCUUGCAGCAUGAUGCCUAAUGCUCAUCCUUGUACGAUGCAGGUUCUCCUUGCGCUCUU